UACAGAGGGGGCUAGCGUUGUUCGGAAUUACUGGGCGUAAAGGGCGCGUAGGCGGCCCGCUAAGUCGAACGUGAAAUCCCCGGGCUCAACCCGGGAACUGCGUCCGAUACUGGCAGGCUUGAAUCCGGGAGAGGGAUGUGGAAUUCCAGGUGUAGCGGUGAAAUGCGUAGAUAUCUGGAGGAACACCGGUGGCGAAGGCGGCAUCCUGGACCGAUAUUGACGCUGAGGCGCGAAAGCCAGGGGAGCAAACGGG
rnacentral:rRNA from 1 species